CCAGGAAACUGUUCAGAAAGCUGAACUGACUGCAUUGACAAGGGUACUGGAAUUGUCUCAUGGAAAGAGUGAAUGUGUGUAUCAACUCAAGGUUUGCUGCAUUCCUUUGAGCCUGCAGACAAAACGCUACUCAAGAUUUGGAUGACAGCAUCUCCAAAAACACAACUAGGAGGAAAGUGGACUAGACCUUGGGACAUAUUCCUCACCACCCCCACCAUGGUGAAACUGG